CGUUCUAUGGCCGAAUUGGUAAAGGCAUGGCCGAUCACAGGCGAGGUUGUGGGUUCGAGUCCCGUUGGAACGG
rfam:Operophtera brumata OBRT01_Sc12187, whole genome shotgun sequence.